GGUGCAGAGUUUCAUGCAUGAAUUUCAAAAUAAUUUUGAAAUAUAACACAGCGGAAUACGUAAAUUAAAUAAUUUAAUUUAUAAAUAUAUGUAAUCAAAUUACUAAACCCUAUAAUUAGGAUCUAUAACAUAUCAUAUUAUAUUUAUAAAUUAAAAAAAUAAAAGCUUUGAUAUUGAUCAAAUCAAUAUCCUAGAUCUAAAACAGUUUUAGAUCUAAAACCU
rnacentral:lncRNA from 1 species